ACAAAAUGCUGUGUAUACUUUAGGGUCCUUGCAACCACGGGACAAAUCAGCAUUGCAAAUUGAACAUGUAGCUUGACUUGAAUCGCCUUCUUUAGACUGAAAGUACUGCCAAACAAAACUUUUUCUGCGAACAAAUUCCAUUUUCAAUUUCUCACAGCCUACUGCAUUGAACCGUCCACCUACGUGAACACCUUC